ensembl:lncRNA
AGCCUGACUGCUGCCAUCUCUACCGAGAAACAACAGGCUCUGUGACAAAGGUUGGACGCCGCCGCCGCCCGGGGUCGACCCCAAAUGUCGUGACAGGGAAGGGAUGGAAGAGAGCUAUGAGAUAUUUGAAGAGGAGUUAAGGCCACCAAGAGCAGUACCUCCUCCACAGAAGCCUGUUCCGCAGAUCCUCAGAACAGAAAUGAGCACUACAAGAAAAUUCAAAGAGGAAAUUCCUACGUUUUCACAACCAGUUAGAGCGGAACCCAAGAUUUUACUCAGGGAGCCGAGCCUCCCCCGAACAACCUUACGUAAAGCUUCGUCCAUCCAGAACUUGACCCCGAUUGAAACGCCUUGGGAGAACGUCACCCUCAACCGCUGUCUGUUUGUGGCCAUCUCCAUCCUGGUGGUGACCUCAGGCUUUCAGAAGCUUCAUGAAAGCCUGCGUGGUCAGAGGGCAGCAGAGGAGGAAGACGUUGGACUGACAGUGAGACGGACCGGCAGACUACGACACAGUAGACCACCACCAGAGCCCGAGACCACACUGUGGGAGGUCAUGUCACAGUGGCUACCAGACCUCGACGAUGAAGAGGACGAGGAGGACGAUGACGCCGAUGAGGGAGGAGGCAAAGUGAAAAAAGUCAAAGAGAGGAGCGACAGCACGAGCAUCAAGAGGUCUCCGAAAUAA